ensembl:lncRNA
UUUUUUUAUAUAUCAGGAGAAGAGGGAAAGAGAGGGAAAUGGCCAAGGAGGCGACAGAGGGUCAGGUGACCAGAAAGAGAGAGAAGAAGAAGACAGAGGAGGCAACAGAGCAAUUGAAGGAGAGAGAGGAGGCGACAGAGGGACAGGUGACCAGAAAGAGAGAGAAGGCGACAGAGCAAUUGAAGGAGAGCGAGGAGGCGACAGAGGGUCAGGUGACCAGAGAGAGAGAGAAGAAGGAGACAGAGGAGGUGACAGAGCAAUUGAAAGAGAGCGAGGAGGCGACAGAGGGUCAGGAGACAGGAGACAGAGGAGGUGAC